UUGUCUAAGAGACAGGAAAGAAAACCAUUUUAGUAGUUCUGUUAGCGCUCUCUGCAGCUAUGGGAAGGACCCUAAGACACUGAAGUGGGGGAUGCCACUUUCCUAGCAUCUUGAUUCUAAACUGAUAUCCUAUCAUGAAUGGGUGAGUAAUUGUGAUGCAAAGUCUCUGUGGGAUUUGAGUCAGAUUGACCCAAGUUCCCAUGUUUUCUCAUAUGCGUAAGAGAGAGAUGAAAGUAUGAUAUAGAGUCAUGUUCUGGGGGAGUUACUGUUUCUCACUUUCAGUUCUUGGAACUUGUAUACAAAGCUGGCCAUUUUGUAAGCACAACCCCUCAUCAAUGGUGUAAAAAGCAACUUGAAAAACAAAAUUAAAACACAGCAUGGAUUCUGCAACAGAAAAUUAUGUCUCACUAGUCUUACACUUCUUUUUCUCUAUUGAUGGAUUCUAGGCCAGAAGGGACCACUGUGCUCAUCUAGCCUGCCCUCAUGCAUACCUCACACCACGGAACUUCCCCAAAAUAAUUCCUAAAGCAGAUCUUUUAGAAAAAUAUUUGAUUUGAAAAUUGUCAGUGAUGGAGAAUCCACCACAACCCCAGGUCUGGACUUGAGAGAGAACAGUGAGAGAGCUCAAAGUUUAACACCCUUUCCUACAGCAUUGUCAAUUUCCCUCCUCACACAAAUGGAACUGAUCAGAGAGCAGAAAGGCUGGAGCUGCCUGUUUGGACUCAACAAUAUGCAGGAACAGGAGAACAUCCUGGAGGACAAGGCAAGAGAAUGGAAACGUUUUCCCCGCCACAACUUUGGAAGGGAGAUGAACUGGAAUAACUGAGGUGACAAAGACAUGAACACUGCAUUAAGUUUCAAAGUGCAGAAAACCCAUACUGACUCAGCUAAGAUGAGGAACAAGACCAAAUGAAACAUGGCUAGAAGAACAUUGAAAACUGGAGCAUGAAAACAUGGCCCCUCACCAGAACUACGGAAAAAAGCUAGUGUUCUGUUGUUCAAAUUUUUUUUUCCUUUUUUUAAAAACCCAAACAUAAACACUUUACUCUUCUUCUAUUUUAA